UGGGGAAUAUUGCGCAAUGGGCGAAAGCCUGACGCAGCAACGCCGCGUGAGUGAUGAAGGCCUUCGGGUCGUAAAGCUCUGUCGGAGGGAACGAAUGCUCUUGAGGUUAACAGCCUCGGGAGGUGACGGUACCCUCAAAGGAAGCACCGGCUAACUCUGUGCCAGCAGCCGCGGUAAUACAGAGGGUGCAAGCGUUGUUCGGAAUCAUUGGGCGUAAAGCGCACGUAGGCGGCUAGGUCCGUCCGAUGUGAAAGCCCCCGGCUCAACCGGGGAAUUGCAUCGGAUACAGCCUGGCUUGAGGACGGUUGGGGUGAGUGGAACUCCUGGUGGAGCGGUGAAAUGCGUAGAUAUCAGGAGGAACACCGGUGGCGAAAGCGGCUCACUGGACCGUUACUGACGCUGAGGUGCGAAAGCUAGGGGAGCAAACGGGAUUAGAUACCCCAGUAGUCCCUGAG
rnacentral:rRNA from 1 species